UAAAACUUAGUUAAAAUAUAACAUUAGUUUGUCACGCUAAAAUUAUUGAUAGCCCCCUUAGUUUUA
rnacentral:tRNA from 1 species